rnacentral:rRNA from 1 species
AGUGAACGCUGGCGGUAGGCCUAACACAUGCCAGUCGAACGGCAGCACAGUAAGAGCUUGCUCUUACGGGUGGCGAGUGGCGGACGGGUGAGGAAUACAUCGGAAUCUACUUUUUCGUGGGGGAUAACGUAGGGAAACUUACGCUAAUACCGCAUACGACCUACGGGUGAAAGCAGGGGAUCUUCGGACCUUGCGCGAUUGAAUGAGCCGAUGUCGGAUUAGCUAGUUGGCGGGGUAAAGGCCCACCAAGGCGACGAUCCGUAGCUGGUCUGAGAGGAUGAUCAGCCACACUGGAACUGAGACACGUUCCAGACUCCUACGGGAGGCAGCAGUGGGGAAUAUUGGACAAUGGGCGCAAGCCUGAUCCAGCCAUACCGCGUGGGUGAAGAAGGCCUUCGGGUUGUAAAGCCCUUUUGUUGGGAAAGAAAAGCAGCAGGUUAAUACCCCGCUGUUCUGACGGUACCCAAAGAAUAAGCACCGGCUAACUUCGUG